rnacentral:rRNA from 2 species
GCCCAGACUCCUACGGGAGGCAGCAGUAGGGAAUCUUCGGCAAUGGGCGAAAGCCUGACCGAGCAACGCCGCGUGAGCGAUGAAGGCCUUCGGGUCGUAAAGCUCUGUUGUUAGAGAAGAACAAGUACGAGAGUAACUGCUCGUACCUUGACGGUACCUAACCAGAAAGCCACGGCUAACUACG